GCAUCGGUAGAGCAACGGUUCAGCACGCGUUGCCGUAAGGAGCGAGGUCUAGGUUCGAGUCUUAGCUGACGCG